CCAGCCCCGUGGAGCCUGGAGUGUCUGAGACGCUCAGGACUGGAAGGGAAGCGUCUUGAGAGAAGGACGCUGCUGGCCUCCCGCCCCCGCCUUCUUCUGUCCCCCGUCCUCCCUCCCCUCCCCCCAACCUGUCCUAGUUAAUAGACUUGGAGGGGGACCAGCGACUAACUAAACAGGAACGAGGAGGUGCUGCUGUCGGUGGAAGCAGAGGCCGGGAGGAGCCCAGGGGCGGGGAGGCGUCCAUGUCCUCUGGGGGGUGGGGGGGGUCAGAGGAGACCCUGGGGUCAGAGAAGACCCUGGGGAGGCCCGCUGGAAUCACCUCCGGAAGAAGAGGCCUCCCCCAGGGCCUUCAGUGACCGACCUCAGGGCCUCCGCGUGUCCUGGCCUUGGCUGAGGCCCGGCUUCCGCGCACUUGAAGACCAAGCUGCAUUUCUAGUCCCCAAGUCCCUGAAGAGAUGUGAGGACAAUUGGUGCCGGCCUCCUGGGGAGUCAGACCGGGCUGCUGAGGGCUGGGCUCCCGGAAUAAACCACCCACACUGCGUACUCCUCAGCCAAGCUCCGUCAGCUGCUUGACGCAAAGGUGGUGCGCACGCACUGAGAGAAAACCAGAGAAUAGAAAAGCUGCGGAGCUGGAGGAAGAAGACUGCCAGGCGGUGCCAGCAGCACUUGGCUGAACAUCCUUCCAAAGCUCUUCUGGGAUUCGGGGCAGCUACAAAUGUGAACAGCCACCUGCCACACCUCAGGAUGGAGGCCGACAGGGUCCACGGAGGAGCUGCCCCGGAGACCACCUAGAGGGUGCCCGUAUCUCUGGUCCGAACACCCCCGAGCUUCCUUCAAGGGCUUCCAAGAAGGCGACAAGGAGAAGACGUCAGAAGUUCCCCUGGGGCCCUGGUGGGUCUGUGGCCGGCAUUCCAAUCCCCGCCACCGGGCAGGAGGGAGGCCACAGAGGCUGCCGGGGGUCGCCCUGGUGGGCUUCCCUUCAAGGACUGGUGGGGUCAGCCUCCCGGGCCUGCGGGACUCCGGGCCUUCAGGGCGCGGCGGGCUCUUCACUCAGAGAGACAAACUGCACUUUAGCAUGAACAGUGAGCUGUCUCCACCUACUCCCCGUCCCCACGUCCCUGGAUCCUGGUUGUGAACUGAAGUUUGGCACCUGCCAUGAGCCUCUGCGUGGAGUAAAGACCGACCCGCGGCAGCCCCGGCGUGGAGCUCAGGGUGGACCCCAGGGGAGAGGCCUUCCGACAGCAGGAGAUUUUCUGCGCCCGAUUCUUGCAUCUCCUCAUGUCUAGAAAAACACUAAAAUCCUUCACGGCGAUGUCUGCUCCUCGUGACCGGUAGCGACCUUCGGGAGACCCGCUAGAAACGUCCAUAUGUUGUGUGCGAGCUGCGCGCAGCUCCGUCCCCUGCACCACAUCCUGAUGCUCCCCGCUUCCCCCUCGGGGGGUCUUCGGACUCCGGUCCGGUCUGUGGUCACGGAUAAAGAAUGUCACAGUCAUCUGGGAACGGCGUCUCCUCCAAGGGUGAGAGCAGGCGAGUCCUGCCGGCUGUGAAAACUCAGGAUACGGGUCCUGAGAGCGGAGGUGCAGAUCAAAGGCACGGUUUCAGGGAGCCCUGCUCCCCGCCCUCUGUCCAAAGACUCCACUAAGUCCCAGCUCCUCCCUCGCCACCUUGGAGAGGUUUCUCAGGGCUGCCGGAGGUGCUGUCUCCCAGGAGUAAGUCCUACUUCUGCCCCAAAUUAAACUUAACUCUCAGCGUUC
ensembl:lncRNA